GGGCCCGCACAAGCGGCGGAGCAUGCGGCUUAAUUCGAUGCAACGCGAAGAACCUUACCUGGGUUUGACAUGUAGGGAAAUCUCGUAGAGAUACGAGGUCCGUAAGGGCCUUGCACAGGUGGUGCAUGGCUGUCGUCAGCUCGUGUCGUGAGAUGUUGGGUUAAGUCCCGCAACGAGCGCAACCCUCGUCCUAUGUUGCCAGCGAAUAAUGUCGGGGACUCAUAGGAGACUGCCGGGGUCAACUCGGAGGAAGGUGGGGAUGACGUCAAGUCAUCAUGCCCCUUAUGUCCAGGGCUGCACGCAUGCUACAAUGGCCGGUACAAAGAGCUGCGAUACCGCAAGGUGGAGCGAAUCUCAUAAAGCCGGUCUCAGUUCGGAUUGGGGUCUGCAACUCGACCCCAUGAAGUCGGAGUCGCUAGUAAUCGCAGAUCAGCAACGCUGCGGUGAAUACGUUCCCGGGCCUU
rnacentral:rRNA from 1 species